rnacentral:tRNA from 1 species
AGGGCCCGUAGCUCAGCUUGGUAGAGCGGCGGGCUUUUAACCCGUAGGUCCCGGGUUCAAAUCCCGGCGGGCCC